AAUACCGAAAGGUCAGUAAUAUUUCUGUAAACAGACUUUCAUUUGUGUACUUCGAGGUUGAUUCAGUAUCAAGCCAGUACUAUGUCAUUAUAUAAUAUUAUUCAGGAUAGCUCAAAUCCAAUUUUGGAAGAUUUCAGUAAAUUUUGAGCACAAAGAAUGAAGAUGACGUUCUCGGCAAACCCAAAAUUAUAUUGGAAGUAAAGAAGGUUUGAUUUUACUCAGAAACAAAGAAAAUGCGUUGCUGAUAUCAUUCGAACUUCUAAAUUUUCCUCUACAGCAAUAACUAACACUGUAUAGCAUUUAUGGAUAUAUGUAAAAAUAAUUGUUUAAAGUUUACUGUUAUUUCAAUGUGCCAAUAUCCGGAUUUUUUACCAGUGAGCUAAUAGCAUGACUAUAUCUCAAUUGAUAACCGCGUGAUAAGUUUUGAUACAAAUAGUGUUUAGUGCGCAAGACUGAUAAAUUUACCUGUAAUUCACAAAGAUUGGUAUACAAACUGGAGUAUAAUAAGGUUUUAAGACCAGGACAUUGAAUAAAGGUACCAGAAAUAUGGCAAGUAAAUUUCCUGUAUGCGGCAUCUGCGAUUCCAGGCAUAUUUCUGUACCAUCUACAGCAUGGUGUUUUGAAUGUAACACCGGGCUUUGUGAAGAAUGUAAGGAACAACAUCUUCUCAACGAAGCACACAGAAGUCAUGGUAUUAUACCUCUGACCGAUUAUCAAAAGUUACCUAUCUUUGUUUUAUUGUCAUGGCCAAACCAGGGAAAGAUGCCUGGAAAUUUGGAUUAACCAGUAAAUACCGACUUUAUGUUAAACCUGAAGGCUUCACAUUAGAAGACAUAAAGAAAAGGACAUUAAAAUGUCAUUGGCCAUAUGAUAUAGUGCCACAAUAUGGAAAGUCAAAAGAAGGGCGAGAAAUUGUAAUCACUCUAGGUAGGAGGCAUAUUUUAGGCCCGGGUAAUGUCACAUUUCUGUGUGAUUCAAGAGAUAAUUUAGAAAGACUUUUUCGCUUGGUACCGAUCUUUAUAAAAAGGAUACAGUCAGCGGACAAACCUUGAUACUAGAGGAUAAUGCAUGAAAAGUAUUUAAUACAAACUAAAGCCAAUAAAGACAUUAGUAUGUGUUCAGAUGAAGACACGAAAACAAAUAAUAUAAAGCCAAAACCAAAUGACUUAGAUUUAUCUCGUUAUAUCCAAUAAGCUAAAGAAAGAAAAACACUUUUCUUUAUAUCUUUAGUAACAGUGGAGCAAAUCAAAAUAGUUCUACAGUUAUAAACGAAACAUUUAUUUAAGAAGUAUUUGAAAUGACAUAUAGUAUUUUAUACUUGAGUCUAAUACCUUAUGUGAAUCUUUCAAGAUUUUGUGUUGAUUUUCUUAAGUUUUGAAAUAGUUUGUAUUUCUAUUCAUGAAUAAAGGCAACAGUAGAUACUGUUUUGUUUCUGUAACGCUACUUAAUUCCGUUAAUAACUUCCUAUCUGCUGUUGUAUUAAGAAGUAUUCAUGUUUCAAAAGCAAAUUAACCCUUUCCUGGAAAGUCAAGCAAAGGUAAUAUCCCGUCAGAUGUAAACAUACUAAUUACAGUAAACUAACAUACAAAACAUUGUUCACUUUCUGAAAUAAAGGCUUCAUGCAGACAUCGUAACCUUGAUACAGCACGAAUAUGAGAUCUGGUCAAAUCAUAUUAAUUCGACCAAUAUUUAAUGGUGUCACCAACCUACAACAACAUUUAAAAAAUAGAUAAUAAACCUAUGCCAACAAAGCAGAUACAGUAUGCACUGUUGUAUCAAUUAAAACCUAGUAGCAAUAAACUUCACUUGCAUAUGAAGGAUGCAUUUCUGAAAUUAUACGAUAUGUCAACGCUUGCAGCUGACACGAGGAUUUAGUCAAACGUUAUCGCUGUUUGAGCAAAAUAUUGAUGAGCUACUAUUGGUCAAUGAACUUCCUAUUCUUUUUUUCGCAAAACGUUAAUCGGAGGUUAUCAAGAACUUUUAAAUAAAUAUUCAGUGUCAGAAAUAAUGUAUGGUGUUCUUAGUUUAUAUAUUCUAGAUUCUGGCUUUGUGUGUCAUUUUAUUUACUUUUACAGUUUCCCCUUCAUUUGUCUUUGUACUAUUAUGUCCCUUUUGGUCGUAUAAAUCUUUUCGUGGCUUGGUAUUUACAGAUCCGGCUUUCAAAUGUUUGGCCUUAAUUGUUCAUGAUGCAGGUAGGUCCAUAGGGAAGCUUUAGACGAAUGCAAUUUGUAGUGUUAUUUCCAAUAUUUGUGUACCCUCGUAAUUCUAUUUUGAUUUUGUUGCUUCAUCGGGCGAGUGUGUAUAUGUCUUUAUACUUUACUAUAAUGUACUAGAUUAUAUUUACUUUCAAAUACAAUUUUUGUUUUUGUCUUUGUUAAAUCUAAUUAUAUGUUUGUUUGAAUUAUUUAACUUACAUAUGUGAUAUAUUUUUAUUGUUUGUUUACAUAAUUUAUUUUGAAUGCUUCACAUUUUGUUAUGUCGCGAUCUUUUAUAGCUGGUUUUACAGCAUGAGUUUUGCUUAUUGCUUAAGGCCUUAUGGUGAACUAUUACUGCUUAAAUCCACGUCAUUUUGGAUUUUGUCUCAUUGCCAAUUAUACCACAUCUUCUUAUUUCAUAUAAACAGAAGUAAUAAUGUGUCCUUUUACUUUUAGUUGAGUAAAGUUCUAGUUGACAUUACAUUGUAAUUAAUUUACUGGUUUGUUUGAUACGUCAAGGAUAUUUAAUGUUUUGCUUGGAUACAUCACCCUUCCAUUGAGUAUUAAUUUCCCACUUUCAUGAAAAAUAAGACUGCGAAAAUUAUAAAACAUUUAAUCUCCAACUAUUGAUAAAUAAAGGCAUAAUAACAGGUAGGCAGUGCAAGAAAACCUACAUGAGUCUGCAAGUGUAAUCCGUAAAAUGGUCGGGCCGUAAUGUUUCAAUUUUUGCAUAAGUUUGUUUAACCAAAUGAUUUUUCCGUAUUUUAUUACUAUGUGCACACCAUGUAUAAAACUUUUAUCAGUAGUUAUUGUUGCAUUCUGUAGUUUCACGUGUACGUGUACAUGGUGUUCUUAUGCCAGUAAUGUAAUAUGUGUAACUAUCUGACAUUUUCAUUCCUCUUCUUUUAUCAUCAUAAUAUUGUUUUAGCUCACCUGGCCCGAAGGGCCAUGUGAGCUUUUCUCUUCACUUGUCGUCCGUACUCCGUCGUCGUUAACUUUUACAAAAAUCUUCUUCUCUGAAACUACUGAGACAUAGUUUUCCAAACUUGGCCAAAAUCAUCAUUAGGGUAUCUAGUUUAAAAAAUGUGUCCGAUGACCCCGCCUGCCAACAAACAUGGCCGACAUGGCUAAAAAUAGAACAUAGGGGUAAAAUGCAGUUUUUGGCUUUUAUCUCUGAAACUAAAGCAUUAAGAGCAAAUCUGACAUCAUGUGAAAAUGUUCAUCAUGUUAAGAUCUAACUGCACUGAAAUUUUCAGACAAAUCCGACAACCCGUUGUUGGGCUGCUGCCCCUGAAUUGAUAAUUUUAAGGAAAUUUUGCAGUUUUUGUUAUUAUCUUGAAUAUUAUUAUAGAUCGAGAUAAUCUGUAAACAGCAAAUAUGUUCAGCAAAGAAACAUCUACAAAUAAGUCAGAUGAACAAAAUUGUCAAUUGACCCCUUAAGGAGUUAUUGCCCUUUAAAAUUAUUUUUUAACAAUUUUUCGUAAAUUUUUGUUAUCUUUUACAAAAAUCUUCCCCUCUGAAACUACUGAGACAAAUUUUACCAAACUUUGCCACAAUCAUCAUUAGGGUGUCUUGUUUUAAAAAUGUGUCCAAUGACCCCGCCUUCCAAACAACAUGGCCGACAUGGCUAAAAGUAGAACAUAGGGGUAAAAUCAAAAAAUAAUUCAUGACAGCCGUAGAUUUGUUUUCAUUUAACCAUGGGUUGGGCAUUUAUAUUCGAUUAUUUUAUCCCGAGGUUAGCGAGAGGUGAAAAAGGAACAUAAAUGCCCAACCCAUGGUUAAUUGAAAACAAAUCUACGGCUGCCAUGAAUUAUUUCGAUUCUCAUAGGACAAUUACGGUAAUUUUGUCAACCGUGAAAGCCCUAUAUACAUGAUACUGUUAAGCUGUUCCGUUUUACCCCCGGUAUUUAAAAACAGAAUUUUCAUUUUUUGUGCUUGAAUAUUGUAUUGAGUGUGCACAUUCAUCUGAAAUAGAAAAGGAAUAGAUAUGUAGGCUUCAUCAACACAACAAUGUUUGAAAGAACACUCAUUUAGUACUAAUAAGAAAUAAACGCUUGUGACCUAAUUCAAACAUAAAAUCAAUUGUGUAUUCAGGAACCGGGUCCGUUCACCCUAGUAUCUAUUCGCCCUACUACCUGUUCGCUCAGGUCAAUUCGCCCUGAUUUUUAUUUUAUUCAAUUGUUGUCUAGUUUUAUAAUGUUUAUUGUUUGAACAGAGUAUGUCAAACUUUGUUGAAAAAUUCGCCGAAUAUUUGUAUUGCUGCAACCAAAUAAUUAUUUUCCUUUUAUUUGCAUAGUAGAAUACUGGAUUAAAUGUAUUUAUCUUUAUCGAUAUUUGUUACCAAUUUUAAUAAUUCUAGUCAGUCAAUUUAUGCAGUAUAAUAAUAAAUGAACUUAUUUAUCCUUUUCAUGUUUUACAAUUCGUACAUAUACAAUAUUAGGUCAAUGUCAGAAAAAUAUAGUUUUUUUUGUAUGAGGCUGAGAAACUAGGGAGGUUUUACCAAGCCCUACCCCAGUUUUGUGCCGAAUACAAAAAAAAAGGUUUAUAUUUUUAUGACAUUGACCUAAUAUUUUUGUUAUACUGCAACUUAAAUUAAUGCAUUGAUAGCUAUUUAAAUUGUAACACAAAUUUCAAACUUAUUUUCAUCCCUUAAUGAACCCCUGAUUGUGGAAAAAGUGUUCCAUGAUGAAAAUGACAUUGCACAAAAUAAUGGUGUUACUAUAUUUAGGAAAUAAACACAACUAGUUGCAGUAUAAAUCAUUCUUUUUUCUUAUUCAAAGCUGACUAUGUUGUUGCUUUCAUGUGCAAACCAAACUUGGCCUCAAUCAUUAUUAGGGUAUCUAAUACUAUUUAUUAUGAUUUUAACCUUAUUAAAAAUGAUUUCAAAAAACCACAGUAGAUACAGGUGAGCUACACAGGCUCUUGAGAACCUCUAGUUCAAAUGCCUUUGAUAUGCAUUUCAUAUGAUGCAUGAUUUAUCAUAUUUCUUUAAUAAUUUUAAAAGCAGUUUAUUAUAUUACGAAUACUUAAAUAUAUAUCAGCCACACAUACAGUUAAAUCCUUUGUCACUGUUACGUUGUUAUCAAAUAAUACUUUAGCUUUUGUAAACAUUAUGUUUUCCAAUAUUGUUAGAAGGGUACUUAUUAUUUGCUUGUUCCUAUUUAAGACAUGGCGAUCCCAUUGUGCCAUCGAAUUGUUUGUUUGUUUGUUUGGUUUUUUUUUAAAUUUAGAUGUGGCGUGGCUCCUCUUUUUGGAGACGAGCAGAUGAUAAAAUCUUAAAAGCGAAGUGACGGUGUGUAUUUAUUGUUAUAAUACUGUAGAUAAUUGACCUAAUAUACUUUUAGAAUGUUAAUUUUAUCAAGGUGUUAGAUUCAAAAUAUUUAAAAUGAAUUUAAUUUUGAACCUAAUGUUUGGAAUUUUUAUAUUUAAGAAAUCAAGGUUUAAACAAUGUGUGUUAAACCCCUUUUUUAAACAAAGAUCAACGUUUUGUACAUAGAUAUCAAAGUUUUAUUACUGUGGCAUUUGAUGUAUCUUAUGUAGCUUUUAUCCUAUCUCAUAUUUUUUGUAUUGAGUUGCUUCAGUAUUUUAUCGUAUACAACCUUUCAUGUAUAUUUUUUUAUAUUUUUGUAUUAUGCAAAAGUUAUGACGUUAAUAAAUAUUGAAUAAG